rnacentral:lncRNA from 1 species
AGUUACUGCCACCCUCUCCCAGGUCUAGAGAGGGGUACCCACGGUGGAGGGAGGUGGGAGGCCGAGACGGCCCCGGGGGUCGGCGGAGACCCAGCGGGAGCAGGGGGAAAUCGGAAGAGCUGGGGGCAUGGAGCGGGCGAGUUUGGAGCGGAAUGAGCCGGGAGCCCUACGUUGUGGAAGGAAGACAACAGUAUAGGACCAUCAGCAGGACCGGACAGAGAGGGGCACACCAGGCUGGCCUUGAACUCAGAAAUCCGCCUGCCUCUGACUCCCGAGUGCUGAGAUUAAAGGUGUGCACCACCACACCCGACAAGGAAGCCUGUUUUAAGAAGUGAUUCCAUGGAGGAGUUCUGCGGCGGCUCAGGGCUUGACUAAACAGUGGACCUCAGACAAGAGAGGCUAAACCAGGCUGCAGGUGACAGGAAGAAUUGAAUAAACUGAAAGCAAAGGGCAGCCUUCUAAUUACGCUUCGUGGCUAUGUGGACAACCUGGAGAAGUCUGGAAACAAAGAAGCCAGAAGCCCGAAGCCAGCAGUAGAGCUCUGACUGGCUUGUAUGCCUAGAAAGGAAGGGCUCUUCUUUCGCCUCACGGGCACAAAUGGGACCCACGAGCGCCGAUUUCAGACUAUUCUGAUCCCUUCAAAAAGAAAGUUAGGAGUCCAGGCUACUUCACUUUGGUGAUAGUAAUCAAACCCUAAUCACGGUGCAGCCACAAGUCACAGAGACCGAAAUAGCAGACUUAUGACAGACAAGGAUGGAGACAGCUAAGGAACUGGCUAUUAAUCACCAGUCCCUCUGCUCACAGCCCAUUGGACCCGAGGGUGAAGGAUGAGGAGGAUGGAAGAAAAUGGGAGUGGCGCUUGCUGCAAAGGGUCUCGAAGGGUCUCAGCACCUGCGAACUGGCUCCAAUCCAAACUCCACUAUUCAUGGUCAAGUUCACAUAGGGCUUGGGGUUCUAACAAGAUGUGACUAAACUUACGUUUUCUAUCUUA